rnacentral:lncRNA from 1 species
AGCAUAUUCAGAGAGGAACAAAACAAAACUUCCAAGCGAAGAUGAAUUGUUUGGCCUGAAUGUCAUGUCUCAUAGAUUACCUUUGGAUAUAGCAAAAGCUUGGGAAAAACCUGUCUUCUGUGAAAGGUUGUCGACCAUGUGUCAAGCUGUGUAGGGAAACUGCCUGGAGAUGGACAUUCUGGACUGCUAAUGGGGACAUGGGACGGCAGUUACCUCUGAUCACUUGCGUGGAUUCUCCUGGAGCAGAAAGACAGAAGCCGCCAGUCACUCGUCCGGAUCUAGCACUGGGAUUCUGUGCUGAAGGGUCUAAAAACUCGUUUUGAUUUGGAUCUGGGAGAAUGUCUGAGCAAGGAGAACUAACCCCGACCAUACUGGAAGAAGGGCGGACAGAGCCAGAAUCUGCCCCAGAAAAUGGCAUCCUCAAGUCAGAAAGUCUGGAUGAGGAGGAGAAGCUGGAACUGCAGCGGCGACUGGCAGCUCAGAACCAAGAGAGAAGAAAAUCCAAGUCAGGAGCAGGUAAAGGGAAGCUGACCAGAAGUCUUGCUGUCUGUGAAGAGUCUUCAGCCAGACCUGGAGGGGAAAGUCACCAGGAUCAGGAAUCAAUUCACUUACAGCUUUCCAGUUUCCCCAGCCUGCAAGAGGAGGAUAAAUCUAGGAAGGAUGACUCUGAGAGAGAAAAAGAAAAGGAUAA